CCUCUCUCAGGGCAGGAUCGGAUGAGCGACCUGGGACAAGCGGGAGAGAAGCGUGAGGAGGAGUGACGGCCGCAGCUCCCCGAUGUGAAAAGGGGAGCAGAGCCGUACAGCUGUCGCCUACUCUCGACUCCCCAGUUCCUGGCCACCCAGCUCCCCGAUCCCGAGAGGAUCCAGACAUCUCCAGAAAAACGGAGGGAACCCGCCAACAAAGCGGCCGUGGGACCGUGGGCGGUGUGGCAGCCAGGACCCCCCCCCCCCCGGCUCUCUUCACGCCCUAGUAUAGAAAGGAACCCUGGUCCCGCCUCCAGGCUCCAAACCUGGCCGCUCGGUCCCCACUGCUCACCUCCGCACCCCGCGCCUGCAAAGCCAACUCCGAGGGCCACCCGAGUCCACGCGCCUUCCCAGCUCCUGCUGCGGGCGCCGACUCUCCUCUCAACCCCAGCCCCUGGCCCAACCUCCACGGCUGGGAAAAACCAAGCCGGGGGGCGGGGGAGGGCCAGGGCUGCAGGAGAGAUCGCCGCCGCGCUGGCCACCUCUGCUGCCCCAGGUAGGGGCUUCAGGGAGGGAUACGAGGGGCAACCUAGGCUGGGCGACUCCCCUAGGCGGAGAUAAAUGAGCAACGCAUCCCGAGAAGGUGAGGGAUUCCCCUUCUGUUCCCCCUCCCCGGCAUCCUUUGGUGGUUCCGUAUUUUGCAUAGCGUAUUUACCUCGGACAGAAACAAAACCGCUGGUGGACCUCUUGGAAUUCACGCUGCUUCUGGCACCGCUGGCAGUGAGGAGAGGGAUUUAAGCGUGAGCAAAGCAGCAGUAGAAGAAGGAGCUGCACAGGUUACAUCCGCCGCGGCAAACGCCUGGGUUGUGAGGGAGAUUCAGAAAGUCUCCUCUCUCGUGGCUCGGUUUGGCUGGCAACUUCAGUUUAUGAGACCCUACCGCAUGGAUUGGUGCCAUCCUCUUCCAAAUCCUUCCUGGGUAUGCGCAAAGGCUUGUCUCCUGGGUGAUUUCAGAUCCUGCUAAGGUGGCAAUAUUAGCCAUCACAUACUGCAAAUACUUUGCUGAGCUAUCUCUCCAACCUCUUACUUUGCAUAUAUAUUUAAUUCUAUUUCUUCUACGAUAGACUCGUGUGUAUAUAUCAUAUGCAUCACUUACAAUUUUUCUUAAUUUAAGAAUAUAUUUUAUAAAAAAGAGUUAAAAAAUAUAUUUUAUGUCUGUAUAUAUGCUAUUUGUGUAUGUGCGUGUGUGUGUGUGUGUGUGUGUGUGUGUGUGUGUUUGUAGGGGUGCAUUCAUGUGCAGACAGAUAUUCAUUCACAGGGGUGUGAGUAUAUAUGUGGAAUGUGGAGUGCUGUUCAUCACACAGUCUCACCCUGGCCUGGAAGUGACCAAGUCGGCUGGUCUGUCAGGCCAACAAACUCUAGUAAUCUAGGUCUCUGUACUGCUAGUGCAAGGAUUGCAAACCCUUAUUGAAUAAUGUGAGAACUGAAAUAUUCUCACCAGCAAACUUACCUGUAUGCUUGAAAGGCAAUAAUCACUUUACCAGCUGAGCCACCUGCCCAUCUUGCUUUCUUCCUUAGGACUGUACAAUAUUUCAUACUGUGGACUACUAUGCUAUACUUGUUUUUGUCAUUAAGAAACAAAGUCUUAAGUAAAUAUCUAAGAGAGAGAGAGAGAGACAAACAGACAGACAGACAAAGUCUUACUGUGAAGCCCUGGCUGGCCAGAAACCCCGUGUAAACCAGGCUGACUUUAUUAUCCUCCUGCCUCUGCCUCCCAAGGGCUUGAUUGCAGGCAUGUGCCACCAUGCGUGGCUUACACUACAGAUUUUUAACAGCAUGAUUGCAACAUGGAUAACUACUUUUAAAGACGUUUCCCACAAGUGAGAAAACCUUACCAGGAUCAGUUCUAUUUUGAUUGUUUUAGGCAUUUAAUUAUACUAAAUUAUCAUACUUACUUUACUCUUGACAGCUUGAAAAUUUUUUGUGCAUAAUGCUAUUUACAUGCUCUGAAGCAGGACAGAGGGUUUCAGAGUACAUCUUCAAAAGUGGAAGAUCUCACUCAAUGCCCUUGCAAAAUCAAUUUAAUAUAUUUCCCAAGGUCAUGUUAUAGCCUCUAGUAAAAUUACCCUACAAUAACAUUUAUGUAGAAGAUUAUUACUUCAGGAGUCAUUUUUCUUCUAAUAACCCAAAGGAAAGUCACUUAAAAAGAUAUUACUGAAAUAUUGAUGUAAAUCUUGGAGCUUCAGGGAAAUUAAGGAAGGAAGGAAGGAAGGAAGGAAGGAAGGAAGGAAGAGUGAUACUAACAACCUUAAGUGAUACCCAGCAGAGAGAAGCCUGGAGGUUCAACAAGCCAAACACCAAGGCUCUUUAAAAUUAGUUUACUUUUGGUCUUCGCCUAAAAUCAGCAAAGGAAUUGAUGAAGGGAACACUCUCCAGUUUGAAAAAAUGUCUAACAAAGUCAAGUGUUGAAUACCAACCAAAUCUGUUACAGAACCAUUAACUAACACUUAGAAAGGCAAAGGCCACUUGCACACAAGAAGUAAAAAGAGAAAGGUGAAGAGAGGGUGGAAGAAAAACUUUUAAAGAUUGUUCAUGGAGGCUCGAGUGAUAUCUCAGCAAUUAAUGGAGGAUGGAGGGAUGUCUCCAUGAUUAAGAGCACUGGCUGCUCUUCCAGAGGACUCAUGUUCAGUCCUUAGCACUCACUUGGCAGCUCACCACCAGCUGUAACUCUAGUCCCAGGGUAUUUAACACCCCCUUCUGAGGUCCACAGAUACUGCACACAUGUAGUGCACAGAUAUACUUGUAGGCAAAACAUAUUUACAUGAGUCUUAAAUGCAAUAAAUAAAUAAAUAAAUAAAAUUACUCACAGAAGAAUAUUCUUGUGAGCUGAUUUCAAAUUGUUUUAUGAAGGAUGAAAUGUGGUCUCCUUUUUUGAUUUAAGUAAAAUAUAAGCUAGAGAAUGGGUCAAAGAAGACAAAUUUAUCUUCAAUAGUCAGUAAAAAGUAGUGUUGGAGCUAUUAAAAAAUAUAAUAAAGAUGUCUUCAAGCUCAUUGAAAAUGGAACACAUAUUAAAGAAGCAGCUAAAAGGAUGUGUCAGGCUGGAGUGAAUGAGUAAGUUGGAUAGGUGCUUCUUUAUGGGGCGAGAAAAUAGUGGGAAGCAAAUGAAAACAGUUCAAUGCACAGAUCUUCGAGAAGCUAACACAGUCACUCAAUGUUAGUUCAACAAAUUCUUUAAGACCUCACCUUUUGCCUGCCACUCAUGUGGUCCUUAGGAUACAAAACCCUACCCUCAGUUAACUCAUUUGGGUGGAAGAGCAGACUACCAGUCAGAACAACUGGUACGAAGCUGACGUGAGGAUUCACUAGGUCCUGUGGCUUGCGGUGCGCUUUAACGUAUCAGUUAGAACUUGCUCAAAAGAGUUGAAACGUUCAGUUCUGGAUGCUGUGUGAGGAAGAGUACAGAAGAUAUAGGAGGGAGAUGUUCAGAUCCAAUUUGCAAUGGGUCAAAUCAAGCCAGAUGUGGGAACAUGCCUGUGAUUUCAGCACUUGGUAAGUAGGAAUAGAGAUGUCAAGAUGUCAAGGCCUUCCUGAGUUACAGAGCAAGUUUGAGGUCAGCCUCGGCUACAUCAGACCCCGACUCAAACUCUGCUCCUUUCCAGCAGGAAAUUAAAUAUGGCUGUCCUGCAAAGGGUUGAUUUAUCCUGUAGUGCUGGGGGGAAUGGCAUAAGAUUUUGACUGGCAAUGACAUGGUCACAUGAACAGGGAAUUUUCAGCAGAUAAAUCUAAGGGUAGAGAGAGGAAUUUGGAGACCCAAGUGAGAGAGGAGAUUAACAACAACAAAAACCUUAAAAUAGAGCUGAGGUAAAAGACUGGGCUGGUGUGUGGAGGAGCAGAUGAACCCGGUGCUUGUGGAAAACAGAGAGGUGCUGCCACCACCGGGCAUUUCAGAGAUUUCUGGAGCAUUUUCUGGUUGUCAACAGUAAUUGGGAGCUUCUGGCAUUUAGUGGGAAGAGGCCAAGGAUAUUAGAAAUCCCAUAAUUAGACAGCAACUCCCUACAAUGAAGAAUUGUUCGGUCUUGAAUGACUUUCAAAUAUGUGUUCUUGUAGAUUAACCUCUGAAGCUUAGCCUAGAGUCGGAUCCAUUUCCCACUCAGUCGACAACAAACGCGUAUGGCAUCAUUUGAGCACAGCAAAUUUUCAGGAAGAAAGCUUUGUUGUUCUCCAGGAGAACAGAGGCUGUUUAGUCUGGAACUUGACCAAAACUACCGUGGAGAGCCAGGCCGCUCGCUCAGUUGACGGUGCCAGCACAGCUCAUCUGUGUCCAUCCCUCUUGUCUGGCGUUGGAGUUGUUUGCCAGUGUGAUGGCUCUUAAUGUGACGUGUAGGCUAUGUUAGGACGUUGGUUUCUAUUGGACUGAGGUCAGGAACUCCUACGGAACAGUUAGGAGGAGGAUUGAAGGAACUGAAGGGGAUGGCAACCACAUAGGAAGCCCAACAGUGUCAACUAACCUGGACCCCUAGGAGCUCCCAGAGACUGUCACCAACCAAAGAGCAUACAUGGGCUGGUCUGAGGCCUUGGCACAUAUGUAUCAGAGGACUGCCUUGUCUGGCUCAGGAUGCACCUAAUCCUUAGAGACUUGAUACUCUACGGAAGGGGAAUGCCGGGGUCAGGGGGGGUACACCCUCUCAGAGGCAAAGGAGAGGAAGAGGGGCAACACUUGGGAUGUAAAUAAAUAAAAUAAUUAAUUAAAAUAAAAGAAGUUGGUUUCUGCAUUCACCCAUAUAGUGAGGCGAGGUCCCUUAAAUCAUAGCUUAUUUGUAAGUGGGUGGAGAUUUAUUUCUAUUUCCUUAAACUCUGAUAAGCUCAUGCCCAAUAUUGGAUUGAAAAUUAUAUCUAUUAUAUAUAAGUUAUAUAUAUAUACACACACACAUACAUAUAUAUUGUCAUAUAUGUUAAUAGUUUAGUGAGAAGGUACAUUUUUAUUUACUACACGUGACUUUGUAUGGUAUUCAUUGUAAAAAAAAAAGAAAGAAAAGAAAAGAAACACUGAUUUCAGAAAAUUUGAAAACAACGUGUACAGAUGUCUAAGAGUUAGACUGCAACUCUGAACAAUUUAUUCCCUGUGGAUGUGAGAAUAUAGACAGGCUUAAUUUUGAAAUAGGCUAUUAUAGGGGAUAUCUAUAUUUUAAAUGAUGCAUAGUACGAAGUCUAACAGCUCUAGACUGAAGAGCCAGGCUCGUGUGUGAGGAAGCCGAAAAGAGGAGGGGAAACAGUGGAGUUCCCUGUUUGAGGAAGAACCUGCUUUGCCUGCUUAAACUUACUGUCUUGUAAAAGCAAGUCAUGGCAAAUGCUUAAGUAAUGUUGCCUCAUGUCUACUUAUUUAAAAAUAAUUGUGGUGCUUUUGUUUACUGGGUGAAUGCCUGCCACUGCCUGAGAGGGCCAGUCAGAGGACACCUAGCAGGAGUUACUUAAUAUCUUAUACUACAUGGAUCCUGGGGAUUGAACUCAGGUCAUGAGACUUGGCACCAAUCCCCCUUUACCUGCAGAACCGUUUUGCUGGCCCUUAUAUUCAUACCCAGUUUUUAAUGCAAGUUGAUUCUGCUUUGAAGACAGUACCGAGGAGCCUCCAUUUGUUUAGUUCUUGACCAAGAUGGGGGUCAAACCGAACAAGAAUCCAACCCAGUGUUAGGAAGGAGUAUUGCCAUUGUAAUGACCAUACAAAUUCAGUUUCUUUCAACCCUAUCUAAUACAGACGACAAAGACUUAUUAAUGUGCUUUUUUUUGUAGUACCCUCACUUUAACCUUCCAAAAAGAACUACCUCAAAGGCAGCAAUUUUCUCAUUCUGGCUCACUGGCGGGGUCUAGUAUGUGUCCAUCAGAGAUUUCAGGGCAUAUUUAAUGUAUUCUGCAAAUCUGAUUCCACAAGCUGAAGUACAUGAAUAUGAUGGCCCUGGGGUUGUCUGAAGUGCUCAGAUCUGACAUAUUGAGAAUUUUAUCUGAUUUAGUUUGGGUCUUCCAUAUAACAGCCAAAGGACCAUGUAUUUUGGAAUAGAAAUUUAUCAUAUGUUCAUGGCAGUGAAAGAAAAGGCUCAGGGCUAUUAACGAGGGAGCGUGAGGUCAAUCUAGGGUCAAGCCACAGGGCUGCACAGUGUGACUUAUGCUGAGGAAAAUCAGGUGCACUACAGAGUAGGUUGCAUUUACUGAACUCCAAUCAUAGCUGCUGGAGGGACCCAUGACCCCAGAAGGCUUUGGCCAAGAGCUAUUGAUGCAGUGAUAUUUACUAAGAAGCCUGUAUUGCCGUGGUGUGGAACCAAUGAGGCCCAGACACUGAACAGUCCACGCUCAUUCCAGGGCAGGGCUCCAUAUAUAGACAGUGACCGGAAAGCUGUAAUGCAGUCUGCCUGAGUGUGAGCACCACAUGACCCUACAACUCUGUCCAAUUCUUCAGACACUGAAAGGCUUCUCACCAUCUGCAACCAUAGGCACGAGGCAUAGUCAUGCCAAAAUUCAUCCAUGAUGCCCAAGCUUGGUGGUAAUGAAUUCUAAACUUUCACUGAAGAGUCCUGGGCUGUAUCUUAGGAGCAGAAAGUGCCUAGCAUAGUAAGAGACCCUGAUU